rnacentral:rRNA from 1 species
ACGAACGCUGGCGGCGUGCUUCACACAUGCAAGUCGAACGGAAAGGCCCUGCUUUUGUGGGGUGCUCGAGUGGCGAACGGGUGAGUAACACGUGAGUAACCUGCCCUUGAUUUUGGGAUAACUUCAGGAAACUGGGGCUAAUACCGGAUAGGAGCUCCUGCUGCAUGGUGGGGGUUGGAAAGUUUCGGCGGUUGGGGAUGGACUCGCGGCUUAUCAGCUUGUUGGUGGGGUAGUGGCUUACCAAGGCUUUGACGGGUAGCCGGCCUGAGAGGGUGACCGGCCACAUUGGGACUGAGAUACGGCCCAGACUCCUACGGGAGGCAGCAGUGGGGAAUAUUGCACAAUGGGCGGAAGCCUGAUGCAGCAACGCCGCGUGCGGGAUGACGGCCUUCGGGUUGUAAACCGCUUUCGCCUGUGACGAAGCGUGAGUGACGGUAAUGGGUAAAGAAGCACCGGCUAACUACGUG